rnacentral:rRNA from 1 species
UACGUAGGUGGCAAGCGUUAUCCGGAAUUAUUGGGCGUAAAGAGCGCGCAGGUGGUUGAUUAAGUCUGAUGUGAAAGCCCACGGCUUAACCGUGGAGGGUCAUUGGAAACUGGUCGACUUGAGUGCAGAAGAGGGAAGUGGAAUUCCAUGUGUAGCGGUGAAAUGCGUAGAGAUAUGGAGGAACACCAGUGGCGAAGGCGGCUUCCUGGUCUGUAACUGACACUGAGGCACGAAAGCGUGGGGAGCAAACAGGAUUAGAUACCCGU